rnacentral:ribozyme from 12 species
GAUAAAUUUGUUCCAUUGUUGUUUGAGCUUUGUUUUUCAUUUCCUUUUUUCAUUGCGAUUCUUUCUUAGAUUAAUU